CCUACGGGAGGCAGCAGUGAGGAAUAUUGGUCAAUGGGCGCGAGCCUGAACCAGCCAAGUAGCGUGAAGGAUGACUGCCCUACGGGUUGUAAACUUCUUUUAUAAAGGGAUAAACUGAGGCACGUGUACCUUUUUGUAUGUACUUUAUGAAUAAGGAUCGGCUAACUCCGUGCCAGCAGCCGCGGUAAUACGGAGGAUCCAAGCGUUAUCCGGAUUUAUUGGGUUUAAAGGGUGCGUAGGUGGGUUGUUAAGUCAGUGGUGAAAGUCUGCGGCUCAACUGCAGAAUUGCAACUGAUACUGGCAGUCUUGAGUAAAGUUGAGGUAGGCGGAAUUCGUGGUGUAGCGGUGAAAUGCUUAGAUAUCACAAAGAACUCCGAUUGCGAAGGCAGCUUACUAAGCUGCCACUGACAUUGAUGCACGAAAGUGUGGGUAUCAAACAGGAUUAGAUACCCGAGUAGUC
rnacentral:rRNA from 1 species